rnacentral:hammerhead_ribozyme from 2 species
AAGCGAAACCGCUGCCCGGGAGCGGUCGGCCGGGCGUGGUGGUCCGGCCCUGAUGAGCCAGCCGCUC